ensembl:lncRNA
CUGACCUCAACACAACCCACCCCCUGCUCGGGGCAUUUUGGUGUUUUCUAGACCUCAUUUGACCGGCUUGGGAGACUUUCUGGAUUCGUGUCACAACAAUUGCAUUCAAAUUCAAAUACUUCAUUCAAAACAGCAGGGCUUACCUCAGGAUGCACUACAUUAGGUGGACACUCCAGCUGUGUGCACGAAGCCGCAGGCCUGCGCCAGCUCGGCUGAGCUGUCUUGGAAAUUUGGGAACCAGAAGUAAACCAGCAGCCUGAGAAUGAAGCGCUCUAUUGGGCUGAUAGAGUACUAUGAAGACUUAAAGACUGGGCCUGAUUAUUCAAGACCUUGUGAGUGGGAAGAAGGAUUUUCCAUGGAUAGAACUGAAAGCACCCACAAGAUAAACAGGUGUAUCCCAAUAGCCUAUUUCACAUCAUGCACAAUCGUUUGAUGCAUGGUACGCUGUCCUAAGACAACAUGCCUCAGUCAAGGUCAGAGUUCAUCAUUCAACAAUAAGAAGACGACUGGGCUGGGUGUUACAAGUAUGUAAAAACCUAAGAAACCAAUAAAGGAGCAAAUUCUUUUUCACAUCAACUGUAAAUUAUUGCACCCAAGGUCUUAACAGCAUCAACCUAAAAAAAAAUUAAGAGCCUGAAACUCUUAUCUUGCAGUAUUUUUAACCAGUGAUGCCAGUCUUAGACUUGGUACACACAUUAAACAUGUGGUACACAGAGCUCACAAUGCAAGGUUGGCAAAGAUUUAUACCAGCAUGGGGCCAUUAUGCCCU